rnacentral:rRNA from 1 species
GGUUGAUCCUGCCAGUAGUCAUAUGCUUGUCUCAAAGA